UACGUAGGGUGCGAGCGUUAAUCGGAAUUACUGGGCGUAAAGCGUGCGCAGGCGGUUCGCUAAGACCGAUGUGAAAUCCCCGGGCUUAACCUGGGAACUGCAUUGGUGACUGGCGGGCUGGAGUGCGGCAGAGGGGGAUGGAAUUCCGCGUGUAGCAGUGAAAUGCGUAGAUAUGCGGAGGAACACCGAUGGCGAAGGCAGCCCCCUGGGCUGAGAUUGACGCUCAGGCACGAAAGCGUGGGGAGCAAACAGG
rnacentral:rRNA from 1 species